rnacentral:rRNA from 1 species
GACGAACGCUGGCGGCGUGCUUAACACAUGCAAGUCGAACGGAAAGGCCCUGCUUUUGUGGGGUGCUCGAGUGGCGAACGGGUGAGUAACACGUGAGUAACCUGCCCUUGACUUUGGGAUAACUUCAGGAAACUGGGGCUAAUACCGGAUAGGAGCUCCUGCUGCAUGGUGGGGGUUGGAAAGUUUCGGCGGUUGGGGAUGGACUCGCGGCUUAUCAGCUUGAUGGUGGGGUAGUGGCUUACCAAGGCUUUGACGGGUAGCCGGCCUGAGAGGGUGACCGGCGGCCUGGGAAGUGGGACAACGACAAGACGACUGAGGAAGGGCGCAGUGUGGAAUGGGAGGCAGCGGUGGAAAAAAUGACAGAGCGAGACGACGUGUGAUACGGGGGCGCUCCGGGCGUGAUGACGGCUUAUGAGUGAUAAACCGAUUUCUAAUGUAAUGAAACGAGAGUGACGGUAACUGAUAAGGAAGCACCGGCUAACGACGUG